rnacentral:tRNA from 1 species
GGCUGUAUAGUUGAAUAACAACGUUAAAUUGCAAACUUAAAGGUGUAAAGAAUUUACUAGAGCUU